CCUACGGGAGUCAGCAGUGAGGAAUAUUGGUCAAUGGCAGGAAGGCUGAACCAGCCAUGCCGCGUGAAGGUCAGUGCCCUAUGGGCGUUAAACUUCUUUUGUGCGGGAGCAAUAAUGGUCACGUGUGGCCAGACGAGAGUACCGUACGAAUAAGCAUCGGCUAACUCCGUGCCAUCAGCCGCGGUAAUACGGGGGAUGCCAGCGUUAUCCGGAUUUAUUGGGUUUAAAGGGUGCGUAGGCUGUGAGGUAAGUCAGCGGUGAAAUGCCCCCGCUCAACGGGGUGAAGUGCCAUUGAUACUGCCUUGCUGGAAUGCGGAUGCGGUGGGAGGAAUGGGGGGUGUAGCGGUGAAAUGCAUAGAUAUCACACAGAACACCGAUUGCGAAGGCAGCUCACGAAUCCGCGAUUGACGCUGAUGCACGAAAGCGUGGGUAUCAAACAGGAUUAGAUACCCUUGUAGUC
rnacentral:rRNA from 1 species